GUCAAGCAUAAACAAUUUAUUUUUAUCAAAUUCUUCUAAGUAUCAAACACAUCGCCCGCCGCGAAAUUUUACCUUAGCGAUAUUUUCUGAAAAAAUGAUGAUUCUUCAAUACUUUUACCAUUCCCAACCAAUUAGUUAUAAAAUGUGGUUGAAAAUUAUAUUCCUUGUAAUUAUUUUUAAAUAAAGUUUCUCCGGAAACUUGAAGGGAACAGAAUGUGACCAUAAUGGAGGGCAAUGUCAAUCUUUCUACUCACACAGAGGAUGUGAAUUAGGACGGAUGAAGUAUGCCUGUUAUGGUAUCGGAUCUUUCUGCUGCAGAAGUUUAGUUAAUAAUAAAAAUAAAUCAAAAAGAGGGAAAAAGAAAAGAAAAUACUACAGAGGAAUCCAUUAAUUUGAUUGCAACGUUUCACCAGUUAUAAUAAAACUAGAUGCCACGAAUAAAACAAUUUAAAUAAAUAAAUAAAUUUAUUAGGACAAAUCACACAGAUUGAGCGAGCCUCAAUGUAAGUUCGAGACUUGUGUUAUGGGAUACUAACUCAUCGAUACUAUAUUUUAUAACAAAUACAUAUAUAGAUAAACACCCUAGACCUGGGCCAAUCAGAAAAAGAUCAUUUUCCUUCAUGACCCGACCGAAGAUCGAACCCGGGGCCUCUCGGUUCUGUGGCAAGAACUUUACCACUGCGCCACCGAGGUCGUCAACAAAUUUAAUAAGAUAUUGUUUAUUAAAAUUUUCCUUCAGAAUCAAGAUAACAGGAAAAUCAUGUGAUUUAUCUACUGUCAAACUUUAAAUUAGUUUUGUGAUAAAAACGAAAUUUUUAUGUUAAUAACCGGCCAAGUGUGUGUUGGGCCCGCGGAAUUAGUAGGAGGUACUACGGAGUACCUACUAAUUUACGCCACGUUGGGCCACGCACAGUAUAGGGUUAUUGACUAAUGGUAACUUGAAUAAAAUCUGACAGACCAGAAUUAGCACUAACACAUCCGAAAUGAAUGAAACGGCGAAGCCCAAGCAAAACGCAGCGGGACUCAGCUCUAACUACGCAAAGUGACAAUGUGUCAUGGCUCUUGUACGUUUUCCGUCAACGGACGUCAAAACAACGCAGAAUAACGAGUAUACGGGGCCAUGCGUAUUAAAAUCCCCGUGUUGUCAACAUCACGCCAAUUAUUUAAGUAAAUUUCUUUUGGCACUUGUAAAAAGUCCACGGCAAUCUAACAACCUAACUUGACUAUACAUAUAUUAAAAGCAAAUUAUGUUAAGUUAAUUUUUAAAUGUCAUCAAAUUCGUCACACGAGCACACCUAAUUACAUUGGCAAUAAAAGCUGUGGUGUGUAUUAACGAUUUUAUUUACUUCUCUCAUUAGUUUUAAACAUGUCAUUUGUUGUUUCCAAGUUUGUUUUCGUUAUUUUCCUUGCAAUAUUUGGGUUCGCCCUGGGAGAUAUAAGAAACCUUUGUAUUGAGCGGGGAGGAGAGUGUAUACCUAGUGGUUUUCCCUGCAAUUCACGUGUUUUUUUGAAAUACUCUUGCAGUCCAGAUAUUGGAAGUUAUUGUUGCAAGCGUUCUUUACCUACAACUUAUUUGCGACACACCGAGUGCGAGUCAAAGAAUGGAGUGUGUGAACCAUUUUACUGGGGUUCUAUUUGCCGAUCCCUAAUAAAUUUGAACUACGAGUGUGGACCGGGAGCGCAAUGCUGCAAAAACCCUGUUUUGUUACAAAAUGACAGAAUAUCUGUAGGCAGAUAAACCUAAUACAUCUAUGUUAGUAAA